CAAGGAUCCAAAAGGCUGUGAUUCAUCUUGGGAGAGACUUAUCUACAAUGAGAAGAAAGAUUCAAGAUUGAUCCUGAUGGAUAUCUGUAGAGAUCGGAUACGUGUGUGGCUUAAAAAAUCUUCAAAUCUAUGAUCGUCAGCUGUGGUAAAGUUCGACCCGCACUAAGAUAUUGAGAUCUGAUCUCAAAUUUACAUUCUAAAUUUUAGAUUAUGUAUGCCAU
rnacentral:lncRNA from 1 species